GAGACUCUGUCUCAAAAAAAAAAAAAAAAAAUGUAAUUCUGUCUGCCAGAUAAACAUUCCAGGGUGCUGUGGCUGCCUCACGUAUCCAGGGUGAUGCAGCUCCCUGGGGACACAGGU